rnacentral:lncRNA from 1 species
GGCCAAGCACAAUUCUAUUCUCAACACAAUUCUUUACAUAAUACCACAUUACAACAUUUUACAAUACAUGUCCACAUCUAACUAUUACAUACAACAUGACUUCUUUACUCUUGCUGACUUCCUGGUCUAUCCCGUACCUGCAAACCUGGGGAUUAAGGGAAUGUGGUGAGCUACUAGAGCCUAGUGAGCAGAAUAAUAAAGCAUAUGAUCUUAUGGAAUGCAUCACACCACAAACAAAUCACAAUCAAGGAUGGACUUGUCACCAGUAGUCCUCUACAUACCCAAUAGUGCCAGGGGCAUAGAAUGGGCCUCGUCCUGGUCUUUCUCUUAACAUAACAUAACAUAGCAUUCCAAUAAUGCCAGAGGCGUAGAAUGGGCCUCGACCUGGUCUUUCUCUUAACAUAGUGCCAGGGGCGUAGAAUGGGCCUCGACCUGGUCUUUCUCUUAACAUAGUGUCAGGGGCGUAGAAUGGGCCUCGACCUGGACUUUCAUACCAUACCAUAUCAUCAUCAUGUCAUAUCAUACGAGGACUAAAUGAUCAUCCAAUACCCAUCCACAUCAUCAUCAUAUUAUGCAAUGCAACAUAUUCAUGAAUUCUAAUGCAAACAACCUAAUAUAUCUCAUGUCAUUCGUGAUUCAUGAACAUGCUCAGAACUGAUUUAUUUACUUUGAAACAUAAUGAGUUAUUCUACUCACCUCAGGCUAGCUCUGAAAAGACACUGAAACAGCUAACUCACUGCUGGGGUCCUCGAUUCCUCGGGUCCGAACCUACACAGGUGGACUCAAAUGAGGGACCAAACAUACAUGAACAUGACUCUAAACAACUCCCCAAAAACCCCCCUAAAACACCUUAAAACAAUCAUAGAAAAUAUGCAAAGGAAGGCUGAACAGGGCACUUUCGGCGGCCGAAAGUCCCUCCAGAGCCGAAACUCAGCCACUUUCGGCGGCACCUUCGGCGGCCGAAACUCCCCUCCAGAGCCGAAAGUCCAACUUUCGGGGGCAGGGUUUGGCAGCCAAAGGCUUGCCUCCACAGGCAGGUUCGGCGGUCGAAAGUCCUUCGGCUGCCGAACCUAAGUUCUCCCAAAGGGGCAGAACUCAGCCUCCUCAUGCACAUUUUGCCUCCCAAACCAUUCAAACAUGCAUUUAGCUAUUCUACAACAUGCAAACCCAAGCAAACAAGCAUAUCGGGGUCUCAAACUAACCUAAACCCCAACACCAACACAUAUAGCAACUCAUACAACACACAUUAUCCAUAAACUCAACAUUAACCUAAACAUGCAUUUCUACCCCAUAACCCCUCAAAACUUGCUUAAAACAUACAAGAAAGGUAGGAUCGAAGCUUACCUCUUGAAGAUCGAGAGGAAAGACGAUCCUAACUUGGAGAUGGGAGAAAUCUAGCUCCUUGGGUCUCCAAGC